rnacentral:sRNA from 1 species
UAAAUAAUUUAAUAACAUCCUUAAACUUAUAUCAUGUGUGGCAACCCUGGCAGUUUGGCGCCCCUAUUCGUGUUUUUGUUUCUCACCGCCCGACAGUUGUUUUUGAUUUUUCGCCGUGCUCGCUUUAUCGGACGCUCGCCAGCUUUUUGGGGGCCUGUUUUGUAUUAUUAUUUUAUGUUGUAUGCGCAGCACACUUGAUGGCAAUUGUUGUCAUUGUUUUUGUUGCCGUUGCCGCUGGCUGCCCCACACUGUUGUUUUAGUCUUGUGGAAUCGGAUGCUCGGUGGUCUGGGUCCUGUCGGAACGCUGGCCGGCGAUGUGGCAACCCUAGGCAAAUGAACUGUUUUUACCUGCAGAAACACAACAAAAAAAACAACAAAACAAAAUCGCCUCACAACGGAUAAUUUAGUGGAAUUUUCAAAAAUAGCAAAGCUAGCAGAGAAGGAACAGCCGCAGCAGCAGCAGCAAUAAUCCCCCAGCGAGAGCACAGACCAGGCACAAUAAUCAAAGAUUAAAUCAGGUUUAUAUGGAAAGGGUUAGCACGGCGCAGGAAGGAAUACACGUUUCCUAGCUAAAGCAACAACAACAACAACAACACACCUACAACUGAUUACACACACACAGAUACACUCACACGAACGAGAGCCGAGAGAGAAAGAGAGAGCACGGACGAAGCAACACGAAGAGAAGACGACGUUCGCAGCGUAAAGUUGGUUGCUCGCUGAGGCACUUUUCUCAUUUUCUUUUCGGACGUCGUGCGGAGCGGCGGUGAAAACUCUCGGCGGCAAAAACACAAGAUAAGAUUUUCCGAUUUUCCGUAUGUUAGCAGCACCAGCACCAGCGGCAUUCGGCAUUUGUUUUGAAAGUAAAGCGAACGAAAAAAAAAAAAAUAAAACAGAGACGGCAGAGAAAAACCGCGCCUCUCUCGCCUCACAUAACUGUGUCUGUGUCUCUGCGUGCGUGUGUGUAUGUGUAUGUGUAAGUGGGCGCGAACGUGAGCCGCAAAAGGAAGUGAAAAUAGUGCAAAAAGGCCAAGUAAUAAUAAUAAUAAUAAAAUAGGCAAAAAGACAGGCCCGCAAAGCAAGAAAGACCAGACCAGUUUCAAAAAGCCUAGCUAUAGCUACUAGCGCCUAUUUGCAGGGCCCGUGUCUGUGUGAUGUCUGUGUGUGUGCCGAGAAGGUGAAGGUGUAUGUGUGAGCCCCAACAACAACAACAAAAACAACUAGAAUCGACCACAUACGGGGAAAAGGAGCAGCGAAAGGCAGCAGCAACAGCAGCAGCGGCAGGCAGGCAG